CUCCACUGGGCGGCAAAGGGGAGCAGGUCAAUCCAACUGGCAUCGGCAAGCGCGGGCAGCUCGCGAAAGAAGACGUU
rnacentral:misc_RNA from 1 species